CGGCAGACUAUCUUACCUCCUACUCUGCUUCUCCGUCAACUUGUAACUUCACCACUUACUUUACUCAGAAAACUGUAUCAGGCAGCAGGAGAUCCAGAGGCCAGAGAAGUUAGAUGGCAUUCCGAAGAUCACCAGAUUUUGUAAGAUGGAGCCAGGACCAGAGCCCAGGCAUGGGAGCCAGUGAACUGUUUGAUGCAGGGGAAAGAAAACAGACUCACCAAGGAAGUAUAAGCAAUGCGG